CCUACGGGCGGCAGCAGUGGGGAAUAUUGGACAAUGGGCGAAAGCCUGAUCCAGCCAUGCCGCGUGUGUGAAGAAGGCCUUCGGGUUGUAAAGCACUUUCAGUGGGGAAGAAAGCCUUGGGGCUAAUACCCUCGAGGAAGGACAUCACCCACAGAAGAAGCACCGGCUAACUCCGUGCCAGCAGCCGCGGUAAUACGGAGGGUGCGAGCGUUAAUCGGAAUUACUGGGCGUAAAGCGCGCGUAGGCGGUCUGAUAAGCCGGUUGUGAAAGCCCCGGGCUCAACCUGGGAACGGCAUCCGGAACUGUCAGGCUAGAGUGCAGGAGAGGAAGGUAGAAUUCCCGGUGUAGCGGUGAAAUGCAUAGAGAUCGGGAGGAAUACCAGUGGCGAAGGCGGCCUUCUGGACUGACACUGACGCUGAGGUGCGAAAGCGUGGGUAGCAAACAGGAUUAGAUACCCUUGUAGUC
rnacentral:rRNA from 1 species